GCGCACAGAGCAGGAGGUACAUGCAGCUUUACUGGUUUUCAGAGAUGGAUGAUUUGCCUCUUAAGCGGAGGACGAUUGUAUUCUAAUUGUCGGUCAUGCGUAUUUGUCGACGAUCCAAUUGAUGAGUUGGUAUGCUGACUGGAACUUUUCGCUGAGCUAGGCAAGUUGGCACACUUGUCUUCCAAGAGCUGUUGCCAGUUGUUUCUGUUCCCAAC
rnacentral:lncRNA from 1 species